AGCUGGUGCGGACCAGGGGAAUC
rnacentral:miRNA from 1 species